rnacentral:rRNA from 1 species
UACGUAGGGACCAAGCGUUGUUCGGAUUUACUGGGCGUAAAGGGCGCGUAGGCGGCGCGGUAAGUCACUUGUGAAAUCUCUGAGCUUAACUCAGAACGGCCAAGUGAUACUGCAGUGCUAGAGUGUGGAAGGGGCAAUCGGAAUUCUUGGUGUAGCGGUGAAAUGCGUAGAUAUCAAGAGGAACACCUGAGGUGAAGACGAGUUGCUGGGCCAACACUGACGCUGAUGCGCGAAAGCCAGGGGGAGCAAACGGGGAUUAAGAAACCCC